rnacentral:rRNA from 1 species
AAGGUGCUGCAUGGUUGUCGUCAGCUCGUGCCGUGAGGUGUCAGGUUAAGUCCUAUAACGAGCGCAACCCCUGUCGUUAGUUGCCAGCAUGUAAAGAUGGGGACUCUAACGAGACUGCCGGUGUAAACCGCGAGGAAGGUGUGGAUGACGUCAAAUCAGCACGGCCCUUACAUCCAGGGCUACACACGUGUUACAAUGGUCGGUACAGAGGGCAGCUACCAGGCAACUGGAUGCGAAUCUCAAAAACCGGUCUCAGUUCGGAUUGGAGUCUGCAACCCGACUCCAUGAAGCUGGAUUCGCUAGUAAUCGCGCAUCAGCCAUGGCGCGGUGAAUACGUUCCCGGGCCUU